UACGAAGGGGGCUAGCGUUGCUCGGAAUUACUGGGCGUAAAGGGCGCGUAGGCGGACAGUUAAGUCAGAGGUGAAAGCCCAGGGCUCAACCCUGGAAUAGCCUUUGAUACUGGCUGUCUUGAGUGCGGGAGAGGUGUGUGGAACUCCGAGUGUAGAGGUGAAAUUCGUAGAUAUUCGGAAGAACACCAGUGGCGAAGGCGACACACUGGCCCGUAACUGACGCUGAGGCGCGAAAGCGUGGGGAGCGAACAGG
rnacentral:rRNA from 1 species